GCCUGGCUGGCUCAGUUGAAAGAGUGUGUGAGUUUUGAUCUCGGAGUUGUGAGUUUGAGUCCCAUGUUGGGUA
rnacentral:tRNA from 1 species